AUGUUCCAGUUGGAACAUUGCUGGGCAGCGUGCAAACAGGAGCGAACGUCAGCCGGGGCGGCAGGGGGCAGCAGACCCCACACUUUGUCCAUGCCUCAGGUGGGAGGAAGUGUCCGGCUCCAGAAACCUGCCGCGGGCUUUAUCCCAAGCGACUUCAGCCAGCAGACGGUUCAUGUCCUGAGGCUGCAAAAUACGAGUUCUGCCAUCAUCGCUGACAAAGUCAUCCCAGUUUGUCUGCCAUCCCCAAAUUAUGCGAUCGCCAACCAGACUGAAUGUUAUGUCACUGGCUGGGGAGAAACCCAAGGUUUGAGUCCUAAAGGAUUUCCAGAGUGUGAGAACUCAGUGACACCUUCCCACAUGAAGGUUGAGGACUGUCUGCAGCCCUUGGUGGGACUUUGAUUGCUAACAUCAGUCCUUCUACUUAGAGUACUUCUUGUGCAGUCUUUGAUGCAAAGUAAUUUCGGAAGAAUUGCCUGAAGGAUGUUCAAUGGUGAUUACUGCUGAUUGUGGCCUGGGUAGGUGGAAAGGCUACUUAGAGGACCUAAUGCAGCAGGCUUAGCUCCCAGAGUUAUUCGUUAUUGGAACUUGGUUUUCAAAGUAGGUCAAAUGAAACUGAAAAACAUUUGGAAUAAUCCAUCACUGGUCAUGGACAGAGAAGGGUUCUAGAUGGGACUGGGCUGGAGAACCCCGCAGGCUUGCGGUGAGUUAUGAGUUGGUGCUCCCCUACCUACAGAUUCUUUAAAAGCAAUGUCCCUACAACUUACUGAACUGGAAUAUCAGCUCGGUGGAUUCCUUCUUCUCUGGCCACUCUUAGGGGACUGAGGGAUGGUUGGAUUCAGAAAAGGGCUUUUAAAAAUUCAGAGAAUUACCUUUUCUUACUGUGCUCUAACACCAAGAACCAGAGGACCUAUUCUUUUACAAAGGUCAAAUAAUCUUAGAAAAGGGGAUGCCUCCUUUUCUACAGAAAUGACAUUCUUUUCCAAGGAGCCUGGAGCUCCCCAAGUUUGUGGCACACCCUGCCUUCAGUAGCUCAUCAAGGUCUUUGUGUUAAAAUCCACAAUAUUUAGCAAGGCAGUCUCUCCCCGCCCCCUGUCAUCUGGCCCAGUCUAGUUUCCUCUCUCACCCCUCCCCCAGUUCUUCUCACCUGCUUAUUCGGGUCUAACCAGGUGCCUUAGUCAGCUUGGGCUGCCAUCACAAAAUACCACACACUCGGGGGUUGGUUUAAAUACCUUUAAUUUUCAUUGUUUUGGAGGCUGGAAGUCCAAGAUCAAGGUGUCAGCAGAUGCAGUGUCUGGUGAAAUCUCUCCCUGUGACUUUUAGAUGGCCUGACUCCUCACUGCACCCUCACAUGGCAUCUCCUCUGCUUCUGCAAGAAGGGAAAGGGACUCUGUGUGUGUGUGUGUGUGCGCGUGUGUGUGUGUGUGUGCACGCGCGCGUAGAGAUGGGUCUCAUCUUUUUCUUAUUGAGGCAUGAGUCCCAUCAUGAAAAUUUCAUCAUGGCCUCUGAUGGUCCAACUCCUCACUGCACCCUCACAUGGCAUUUCCUCUGCUUUCCUCAUGGCCUCUGAUGCCACAUGAGGACACAGUAAUAAGGGGUCACCAGAUGCAGGUCCCUUGACUGGGGGCCUCGCAGCUGCCAGAACUGUGAGAUGAUCCAUUUUUGUCCUUUAUUGAUUACCCAACCUGUGACAUUUUGUUACAGCAACACAAACAGACUGAGACAUAUGGAGAGGCUUCUCUUCCCACCCCUGUAGUGACUCCUUCUUUGCUAAAUUCAGUGAGCAUUUUUCAAUCCUUAUCUUUGUGAAAGGACAUUUUGCUAGAGUGGAGACUGGAGCUCAGAUAUUGCUGAUAAUCAGAGUUGGCGUGUCUCCCCAGUUGAUUUACAAUUGGGGCUUGGAUACUGUUUUAAACUUGGGAGGCGCCUCCUAAUCAUCUCGAUACAACCACUAAUGUGACUACACUAGAGAUAGACUCUUUCCACUUAAUUCUACCACUCUUGCUUUACUUCAUGAGAAUGAAAAUGUAAGAUUGCACCAUGAAUUCAUUUGGGGAAAGAUUGAUACUAUGCUUUUAUUUUAUUUUAUUUUAUUUUAUUUUAUUUUAUUUUAUUUUUUUGAGACAGAGUCUCGCUCUGUCACCCUGGUUGGAGUGCACUGGCGUGAUUUUGGCUCACUGCAACCUCCGCCUCCCGGGUUCAAGCGAUACUACGGCCUCAGCCUCCCUAGUAGCUGGAACUACAGGUACCCACCACCAUGCCUGGCUAGUUUUUGUAUUUUUAGUAGAGAUGGGGUUUCACCUCGAACUUUUCACCUCGUGAUCCACCAGUCUUGGCCUCCCAAAGUGCUGGGAUUACAGAGUUGAGCCACCGCACCUGGCCCUGUGUUUUAUUUUAGUUUUAAAAAUAUUUAUUUAUUUAUUUAGGCCUCACCUACUGGAAUGGGAAAGAUUGAUAUUUUAUUCAUUUUAUUUAGUAUUUAUUUAUUUAUUUUUCUUUUCUGAGACAGUCUUGCUCUGUCACCCAGGCUGGAGUGCAGUGGCACAUUUGUGGCUCACUGCAACCCCUACCUCCCAGGUUCAAGCGAUUCUAGUGCCUCAGCCUACUGAAUAGCUGGGAUGACCAGCAUGUGCUUCCACACCCAGCUAAUUUUUGUAUUUUUCAUAGAGACAGGGUUUUGCCAUGUUGCCCAGGCUUGUCUCAAAUUCCCGGCCUCAGGUGAUCCAUCUGCCUUGGCCUCCCCAAAUGCUGGGAUUAUAGGCAUGAGCCACCGCCCUCUCCUGGAAGGACUGAUAUCUUAUAACAUAAUUUAUAGUUACAGAAAACAUGUGAGUUCACUAGGAAUAAAGAAAUUUUGAAGAUAAUAAAAGAUUUUCACUUAUGUUGUAAUUUCGACACAGUUUGGUAUAGAAUGUGGAGAUUUUAACAUUUACACCUAGGUUGUUCAUAAACUAAGACCUGAAUGGGUUGUGUCUAUUAGCUGCACCCCUGAGUAUCCACACAAGCUUGGGAAGGCCUCAGCCCCCUCCUUGUACAGCAGGAAUGAGAACAGCACUGCCUGUUGGGAAGCUUGAGGGAGGCUAUGGAUGGCAGCACUUGGCAGAGGGUCUGGUCAUGGAAGGUACCAGCAAAUGUGAGCUACUUUUAUGAUUUUAUUUUAUCCAAAAUGAAGGGAAUAAGAGAGGAGGGAACAAGACUAAUCAGGAGAGAUGAAGAUCUGGGAGUGAGGGAAGGAGUAAGCAGAAAUGAAGGCAGCAUGGAGCAGCUGAGGGGGGAGAUGGCUUUCACCACUUCCCAGCAUCUAUUGACAUUCCACUCUCAAAUAUUUUGUAAGACUCUUUAUUCAAGGUAAUGUUUGAACCCUGCUGAGGCAGUGGCAUGGGUCUCUAAGAGAAUAAUUAACUUAAUUUGACUAUCUGGUUUGUGGAUGCGUUUACUCUCAUGUAAGUCAACAACAUUCUGGGAUGGGGACACACUUUCUGGG
ensembl:lncRNA